UAGGGAAUUUUCCGCAAUGGGCGAAAGCCUGACGGAGCAAUACCGCGUGAGGGAUGACGGCCUGUGGGUUGUAAACCUCUUUUCUCAAGGAAGAAGUUCUGACGGUACUUGAGGAAUAAGCAUCGGCUAACUCUGUGCCAGCAGCCGCGGUAAUACAGAGGAUGCAAGCGUUAUCCGGAAUCACUGGGCAUAAAGCGUCUGUAGGUGGUUUGGUAAGUCUGCUGUUAAAGACUGGCACUCAACCCCAGAAAAGCAGUGGAAACUGCUAGACUUGAGUGUGGUAGAGGUAGAGGGAAUUCCUAGUGUAGCGGUGAAAUGCGUAGAUAUUAGGAAGAACACCAAUGGCGAAGGCACUCUACUGGGCCAUAACUGACACUGAGAGACGACAGCUAGGGGAGCAAAUGGGAUUAGAUACCCCAGUAGUCCUAGCCGUAAACGAUGGAGACUAGAUGUUGCACGUAUUAACCCGUGCAGUAUCGUAGCUAA
rnacentral:rRNA from 1 species